rnacentral:rRNA from 1 species
GGACGAACGCUGGCGGCGUGCUUAACCCAUGCAAGUCGAACGGAAAGGCCCUGCUUUUGUGGGGUGCUCGAGUGGCGAACGGGUGAGUAACACGUGGGUAACCUGCCCUUGACUUUGGGAUAACUUCAGGAAACUGGGGCUAAUACCGGAUAGGAGCUCCUGCUGCAUGGUGGGGGUUGGAAAGUUUCGGCGGUUGGGGAUGGACUCGCGGCUUAUCAGCUUGUUGGUGGGGUAGUGGCUUACCAAGGCUUUGACGGGUAGCCGGCCUGAGAGGGUGACCGGCCACAUUGGGACUGAGAUACGGCCCAGACUCCUACGGGAGGCAGCAGUGGGGAAUAUUGCACAAUGGGCGGAAGCCUGAUGCAGCAACGCCGCGUGCGGGAUGACGGCCUUCGGGUUGUAAACCGCUUUCGCCUGUGACGAAGCGUGAGUGACGGUAAUGGGUAAAGAAGCACCGGCUAACUACGUG